CCCGAAUGCCCCUCAGCGGUGCGGACGCCCGUUACCUGCCGUCUCACCGGGGGACUCCUGGGCAGCCUCUGCGCUCCGGGGUUCCGAGGUCGGAGCUGUGGGGGAACCGUUAGAAGAGAGAGGCGCUGCCUUCCAAAGAUCGAGGUUGGGUCGUCUGGAAAAGGAGGUCCUGCCCCCGAGGCUCUCCCUGAGGCGGCCUGAGGAGCACGGCGGGCGGCCCCGCUUCCUCAGGUGGACGCGGACGCGGUUGGGCCGCGAGUGGCCGGGCCGGUGAGCCGCACGCACCGACGUGGCUUCCGGUCUUCCCUCCCAGGACGGCACCGGCGGGCGGGCUCGAGGUGCUGUUUGUGACCUCCUCAGCGCCUACCCGCACGGUGGGUGGCAGAUGCGAGGCCGUGGGGUGCCGCCCCGCCCAUCCGGCGGCUGUCAGUGAGUAACCCUGCUUAGCGGGGGUGACGGCACGACCACUGUGGGGAUCCGGCUUCAUGACCGUGCGUGUCUGGUCCCUGUUUCGCACUUCUCUGGUACUGUGCCUUGCGUGAAGAUGAGUGUGUAUACCCACUUAAAAAUGUUUAAAUCAAGCCGAACCAUUCAUGCACGGUCUGUGAUCACAGAUUAUUUUCUGAGCGUCCUGAAAGCUGAUAAAGAAUUUCAGGAUGAUGACCACGACCGUGGGAACAGCAGCGAGAGGGCAGACUGGGUGACGGAGAUCCGGACAUCAAGUGUAUUUUAUAGGAGUGAAUGCAUGUAUCUUAGUGACACCAGCAUUAGGAGGGUGUAGCAUUGUGAAUAAAUAAAAAUAUUUGCUUUGAUCAGAAGACUGAAAUGACUCCCUCUUUGCUAUAAACAGUUUCAGGUGUACAACAUAAUGAUUUGAUACUUGGAAACACUGAAAUCAUCACCACAGUUGCAGUUCUUUGAAGUCUCAUCCCAAAUAAAGGGAGCUUCACCCAUUUGCUUGAUUCCCUUGUUUCCUCUGUGUUUCUCCUGUACCGCAUUUCCUUUUUUGCUCUACCUUGGUUGAUUCUGGGUUCUAGUUCCUAUCUCCCUACUCCUGAGAGGGUGUCAAAAGCACCUCUUCCAGAAUUGGCAAAUGCAGGGGUUACCUCUCUUAAUCUCCAUAUUUUGCAGUUUUUAAUCUGCCCAUCUAAAUGUCCAGUAGACAAAUGAAGAAAUGUUCAGUGUUCAACUCAUUAGUGACUAGAGAAUUGCAAAUUAAAAGAGAAACGUGCUACACAAUUACUUGAAUGACUUAAAUUUUUAAAAACGUCUAUAUCCAGUAAGAAGCAAGGACAUGGAGCAACAAGAGCAGAUGGAAAUAUAAUUGGUACAAACAGUUUAGUGUGUAGUAAAGAUGAAAAUGAGGCAGUCCUGUGACCAGAAAUUUCACAUUUAGGGUGUGCACAAGCAGGGGCAAUGCCGGAAGGAGAAGGAGAAGCAGACUUCCCGCUGAGCAG